AACACAUUCCAUAGUUUUGGGAAUCAAUGAUUGGUCCGAAUUUUAUUUAAUCACAAGAGGUCUAAUUUUAAUGGUAUCAUUAAAUUCGAAAAAGUUUCGAAUAAUUAAGAUGAAUGUUGCCAUUAAUUUUAAAUUUAAAGAACGUAUCUUCACGGCCUACAGCUUUUUUGGUUAUGCAUGAGUUGGAGGAGAGCUCUUAGCCCGUAGAAAAGUCUUAAAAAACGUAGAGAGGGAAAAAGUCACUUUUCUGGAGUUUAUAUUCUCUGCAGAAGCGAACUUCGUUCCAGUGUUACUUAGCUCAACGUAAGAAGAGGGGAAAAAGUCUUCAAAGGUAUAUAACUUUGUUUGAUGUGAAUCAAUUCUAAUUCCGCGAAACGAGUGUCUAAAAUUCAUAUAUCCAUUAAAAAAAAAUAAUUUGGAAGUGUGACACAACAAUAUACUGUUACGCUAUGAAACAAACAUUAAUCCUGGGUGAUGGAAGUCGCGUUAGCUGUGAUAUCAAGAAAUGGAGAUCGAAGAGGUACUACUCGGACGAUAUGGAAGGAAGCAUGAUGGGAAUUUAUCGCAUAAUCUUUCCAAAAUCAAGUACUGGCUGAAAACACUAUAACAAAGUGAAGAUCUUCUUGGGAUGGCCCAUUCUCUGCUAGAAAUGCUAUAAGAAGAAGAUGGUCAGAAAAUGAUAGAUUUUCUGUACGAUCUUUUUGAGCUGUCAGCGAAUUUUCAACUUCAAAUUAUUCAAUAAGUACUUCCACUUGGAGGAUAAUACUCAUUCUCCUUGAACGUAUAAACAUCGCACCACUGAAUACAGAAGGUAUCUGGAAAAGUUCGCACAAGAGAGGUGAAGAAAUCGACGUCGUUAAUUGUGAUUUUUUUAUUCUAUUGGUUCCUUUUUCUUAAAGAACAAUUGUGCAUUUAAAUUAAAUUAAUAACUGCAUAAUAAGUGCACAUAAAUUAAUGUAAUAACUGUUGUAUUUAUAUAAACGCGUUUAUAUAUGAUACACUUUUAUAUUAUCCGCAUUAAAUUCUACGUAAUUUACGGAAAAAUUAUUUUUAAGCAAUAAUAACUUAAUGUAAUAUAUUUAUUGUACGUAUUAAUUUAUUAUACGUAUUUAUUGAUACAUGUGAAUUAUUGUAUAUAUUUAUUUUUUGAGAAUAAAUGUUUAAUCGAUAUUAAAUUAAUAUGUAUAAUUCCCCCGUAUCCUGUAAGAAUGCUUGCGAUACGUCGUGGAUGAGUUAGGAAUAGUUAUAAUAUAGUCGAAAUGCUUUCGAAAAUAUCGGGAAGAUGUUUGCGUAAGUAAUAAAGACGCAGUUAGUGAGUGAUAUUUUACAUUAGAAAACGUUAUGUUAAAUUAGAGUAGUUAUGUUUUUCUAAUGCGUUCUUAUUAAUACACACACGUGCACAUGCGCGCACACACGUAUAACUACGAUUUGCUAUUUAAAUGAUUUACACAGCUUUCACUUUGCUAUAUAUAUAUUCCACUUUGAUAUACAUAUAUAUAUAUAUCGCUUUUUUUAUUUGCUAACGUCGUCAGAGGCGAUGGAUCUAUUUUAGAAUUUCAUUUCACGUGAUUUGUUCAAAACAAAAUAAUUUAACAAAAACAAGAUUCAUAAUUUAUCGGUUAUAAACGUUAUAGAAACGUAAUCAAAUAAAAUAUGUGUAAUAUGUGUAUAUAAUUUUAUCGUUGAAAGCAGAACGAAUAUAUAUAGAAAUUCUCCUCUUCCUAAAAUGCCUACAAAAGAGUAUAACUGAACAGAGGCAAUUUUUCUCCGAUGUAGAAAGCCGAAUUACCUUUCGAACGAAAAAUAAAAAUAAAAUAAAAUAGAUCGUCAGGAAAAAUAAGGGAAGGAAACACGAAUCUUUGUUCAGUCUCUCGGUUAAAAAAUAGCGACGAGGCGAGCAACACAGUAAAAUUAAAUCAACGUAUUCCAAUGCGAAAGUUUAUUGAUUAUAAUGAAAUAUCAAGGUAAUCCAUGGUGGAACGUGGUAUCAUAGGCUCUGCCAGAUAUUCUCCUCUUUAUUCCUAUCAUUCAAUACUAUUUUACAAUAAUCACGUAUUUACAUAGAUAUAUGCCCUUUUCUUUAAUAGCCCAAAUGUCUCAAAAAAGAUUAUUUGCAGUUAUGCUAUUAAUAAAUCAAUAUAUGUGUUUAAUCUUCACCAUGAAGCGUCAAGGAGAACUGCGUAGCAAGGUGUCGUAUUAUAUGCUCUGUUAGCUCAACAAUUUUCUCCUCUCUACUCUCCUAACCACCGCAUAUUUCUCAGCAAUAUACAAUAAUUCCGUACUUACUUUUAAAUAACUUAUAUGACUUUUAUUUUCAUUAGUCAAAAUCUUUUAAAAAUGAUCAUAUCAAAUUUAUACUAUAAAUAAAGUAUCGUACUUAUAA